AUGAGGGAAGAUAUACCAUAUAUAUUCACUCCUCAAGGGAAGCUGGAACCUGCAAAACGCAAGAAAGGGUUGUUGUGUGUUGCGUCCUCGCCAUGUCUGGACAUCAAGGUUGGGCAGACCUACCAGAUGUCCUGCUUCAUUCGAUUGUUGCUCUGCUGGGCUCCUUCUCUGACCUUCUUGCCUUCGCGGAUGAGCACCAGAUCGGCGUCGACGUGUGUGCCCGCAAGGUCGUGGGUUGCGAGGUCUAUGAGCUGGUUGAGCCACCGCGCGAAGACAUCACUUCCCGCUUCGUUCACGCUUGGCCGCUGCCACCGGCUCUCUGCUCAGCUGCAAGACAGAGACACGCCACCAUGCGAUGAUUCUUCUUCCACUCGCAGGCCUCCCACUCCAGUAACUCUUUUUCUGCUCCAGCAUAGCAUAGCUGGUGAUUUGUUUCUUGGAAUUUGGAAGAGGAAGACGAUGAAGCGUGGUGGUUAUCUAUCAAUAUGCCUUGUGUUCUGGUUGUACUUCAUAGCUAGUUUCAUUGUAUUUUGUACUGGUCUGGUUGUAUGA
rnacentral:rRNA from 1 species